rnacentral:lncRNA from 1 species
CAGUUAUUAAAUGGACAAAGAUAUACGAAUUGCCUCAUUAUGGAAGGAAGUCAAAGCAGAUAAAGAAACAAUUAAUGUUGCGACCUCCAUAUCCAAAAAUGUAUCAAAAAAAUGAAAUGCCACCUGUCAAUUCCAUUACAGAAGUAUGUGUUGUGAUUGAUGGUGAAUGGAAAGUUGGGGAUUUGAUAGAUUGGUGUAAAGAUGAUUGUUAUUGGUCAGCAAGGAUCAUCAAAAUAUUGAGUGAUGAUGAGGUUCAGGUAAUGAAAAUUUAUCAUUUUUAUUAUUAGUUUAUUACUUUCAUCUCAUAAAUUAUUAUUUAUUGUUAUAAAUUUGUAAAUUAUUAUGUGUGUAGAUUGAGUUGCCAAUGCCUCCAGCUGGACAAGGGGGGAUUUAUAAUGCAUUUUGUAAGGAUUUACGCCCAUCAUUAAACUGGUCUCCAUUAGAAGGCUGGACAUUUCCUACAUUGGUGCUUUUCUUUUUUCCUAUACUUUGAUUCAUUUUUAUAAAUUUUGAGAAAUUAGGUCUUUUCUAAGUAGAAUCCUAAUAAGACAAAAAUAGAAAGUAAAAUGCUGUUAUAUAAACUAGAAAGAAAUGGAAGUAAGAUGCUCUAAAAAGUUUAUGCUUUUUCUUAUUAAUUGGUUCUUAAACUAUAAAUUUCACAUGCAGAGAGGUCAGGAUUCAUGUAGGGCACAACUUAUUUUCCCAUCACAACAAGGUAAAGUAAAUUUUAAUCUAGUAUUACUAUAUUUACAUUAAUUUUAUCGAUUUUUUCUUCAAAAUAUCAGUUCUAACAUAAAGUGUACUUUGUAUGCCUUUCAAAGAAGGAAUCUUUUUUAUAUAACCUUUUUUGGGCUAUUUUUGACAAUUAGGAUGAUGAGGGCAUUUAUGUCUUUUGAAAAGACAGAAUAGACAUUUUUAGUAAUUGGACAAAAAGUUUUACUUUUUGUCCUAUUGAUGUCAGUUCUUGUCUCAUUGACAUCAGUUCCAGUCUGUUUAAAAACUAAUAUUUUUUUUUGUUUGAAUUAUAAUUUUGAUGGAUUUUAUUAUAAUUGUAAAUCUUUUAGGCAUGGAUAUUGAGAGUAGGGAGGAAGAAGUUGCUUCACCUCAAAAUGCAUCUUCCACUUCUCGAAUAUCAGUAAUUUCAUUAGCAGCUCCAAUCGAAGAAGAAGAAGAAGAAGAAGCGUUGCAGAGUCAAGAAGUGAAAAUCAAUGGUGAUGACGUGGACAAAGUGAGUUCUUCAGACAGUAUUUCAACGAUGCGUGUGGAAGAAAAUAAAACAGAUGAUGAUGAUGUUUGGGAUGAUGUUGAUCAUAACAUGAUAGAUUUAAAUAUAAUGCAUGAGGAGACAUUAGAGGCGUCGAUUCUUGACCUUGAAGAACUUGCUAAUAGAAUAAAAUGGCUUAAGAGCAUUCUUGAUAACAGUCGAUCAAAUUCAGGAUCAUGGAAGUUUGAAGGAGGAAGUUGAUUAUUUUUAAAUUUUUGUUGUUGUUUGUUGCUAAUGUACAAAGGUGAAGCAAGUUGUGUGUUGUGACUACUAUUAGUGUGUGUAUGGAUUAAAAACUUGUUAAUUGAGGGCUUUUGGUAAUUAAUGAAUGAAAUUUCUCAUUUUUACUAUGUUUGAUUUAGCCAUCCAUAAGUAAUGUUAAAUGAUCAUUUCGGCCAAAUACAAAGAGAAAUGAAAUUGGAUGACGUGCAUACAAAUUUUCUCUCUCUUUUUUUUUUUAUUAUUAUUUUUUUUUUUUAUAAAGCUAUUUGAUAAUUAUGCUAUCAAAACGGUUUUGUGGUAAAUUUAAAUGUUCAUAAAUGUUAUAAGUAUUAUAUUUGAUGCAUAGAAUUAGAAUUUGGCGUUACAUUAUUUUGGUUAGUCGGGCAGUAUUUGACGUAUGAUUGUCCAAAUCGCGAUCCUGAUCGUAUGAUCCUAGGUAUGAAAAACGACCCGGAUCGUAUUUGGGGUAGGAUCGAGAUCUGAUCCGAUUCUACCUUCCCUUGAUUUUUUUUUUUUUUUUUUUUUUUUUUUUUUUGCAAAUCUUUCAUAACAUUUUAUGUCUUUUACCCUUUACCAAUCUACCAUUUAUUAUUUUUUAUUGUGACUUAUGACUAAUAUUUUGAAGUUUUUAUAAUUUUUGAACAAAAAAUUAAAUGUUUGAAAUAUUUUUCAUGAUUAAAUAUUAUAAAUUAAAAUUAUAUUUUAUUUUGUAGGAUCUUAGAAUCUCAAUCCCAAUCUUGAAACCCAAAAGCGAUCCUAGGUAGGAUCCCGAUCUUGACAACCUUUAUUUGAUGUUUCCAAUCUAAACAUAAACUGUCCUAAUUUGGUUAUUUCUAAUAACAUAGUUGGGAAUUUAGUUAGAUUUCUAUUUUAUUACUAUGGUUAUUUCUAAUAACAUAGUUGGGAAUUUGGUUAGAUUUCUAUUUUAUUAUUAGGUGUGAGAGUCGUAUACUAUACAUGUUUAUUAAAAAUAAAAGUUAUAUAUCAUAGUGUAAAUAUUAAAUAAUUUUAAUGCCUAUUUCAUUUCAAAGUUUAACAAAAUAUAUUUUAUUAUAUCUUAAUUUUGACAAUAUAGUUUUAUAAUAUUUUAUUAUUGUAAUUAUGUAACAAAAAAAAUCCUAAUAAAUGUUUUUAGUGGUAGAAAAAAACAAACUAUUUAUUAUUAUGUUUAUUUUAUGGAGAAAAAUAUAUUUACCUUAAAUAAUAACUAAUUCAUUAAUUAUAGUUUUAUCUAUAUAUUUAACAUAAUANAUAAUAAUAAUAAUAAUAAUAAUAAUAAUAAUAAAGGAAUUAAUUAGUGAAAUUGAUUAAUUUUUUAUUAAAAAUAAAAUAAAAAUACCACAUAAUAACAUGUGAAAUUUAAGUAAUUAAAAAAUGACAUAAUGACAUGUGAUAAAACUUUAAAGAAAAUGAUAACCGAAAAAAAAACAUUUUCAUUUAUCAGUAGACUAGGUUAUAACCCAUGAAAACCACGGUAGGUAUGUUCAAUUUUUUUAUUAUAUAGACAAAAAUAAGAUUAAAUGUCAACAUAGUAAAAUGCAAUGUAUUUUAGAUUGUAAGUAAAACCGGAUGAAUUUGAUAAGUAAAAAAGAAAAUCUUUUAAAUUACAUUUUGAAACACUUCUUGGUAUAUAUCAUUUGACGUUUUAUUGGUUAAAUUACAAUUUUUAUCUAAAAUCAAUAACUUUCAAUUAUUAUAUGCUCAUUUUUCUGGAUAAAACAACAUAUAACUGGCCGUAUGAGAAAACUGGUUCUUGUAAAAAAAACACCAACAUUUGACAUCGCUGACAUUGACUUUUAUUUAUGGUCAUAACAAAACAAACACCAACAAAAAUGUCAUUAAUUUGAAUGGAAUUUUGACGUCCAAAGGGUUAAAGACAAUUUAUAAAAAGAGUAUAUACUAUAUAAAAGUGUAUAGAUAAAUAUAUGAUAAAGUCAUUGUUAUUGUAUAUUAUUACUAAGCAGUUUGUAUGUAUAAAUUUUAUUAAAAAUUAAACGUUAAUGAUGCAACAUUAAUUUUGUAAACUAAAAUUUAACAGUAAUAAUUUAUUGUGUUAAAAAAAGUUGUAAACGUAUUUGUGAUUGAAAGUAAACUAAUAUAACUUUUGAUAACAAUUUAAAGAUACAAAAAUAAUUACAUAAGUAAAAAGUUAUUGGGAAAAAAGUUAUAUGGACUUAUGCUAGUACACUAACAAAGUAUAGGGACUAAAUUCAAACUUUAAAUAAAAAACAUGAACUGGAUUACAAGAGGUAUACGAAUUUUUAAAUCAAAGAUGGUUUAUUAGUUAUCAAAAAAAAUUGAAAAUUUCUUAUAAAUACUUCUUAAUUUUUUGAAUAUUUAUUUUAUUAGCAUAAGAUGUUUUUUGAAAUUUUAAAUGAAAGAUUUUUAUAAUUAUCAAAAAUAUGGAAACUUGAAUUUUGAAUUUUUUAUAAAUACUUUCUGGAAAAUAAUGAAAUAUCAAAAGAAAAAAAAAAAAAUUAGGAAUUUCUUAAAAAUUGGAGUAAAUUUAAUGAAUGGUCCCUAUGGUUUGAGGUAAUUUGCGUGUUUGGUCUUUAACUUAUUUUUUUUUUAACUCGGAAAGUCCUUAUUGUUUGUUUUUGUUAUGUGCUUGGUCCCAACUGUUUGUUUUUGUUACGCGUUUGGUCCCUGUUUUAUCUAAAAUGACUAUUAUUUAAAUAGAGAAAAAUGAUGAAGUACGUAAGGUAAGGUAAGGUGAGGAGCUGGGGUUGAGGGUGUGUUUAUUUCAACAAAUUAAAAAAUCAAAGUCAAAAUUGUCUUUUUAGGUAAGACAAGGACUAAACACGUAACAAAAAACAAACAGUAGAAACUUUCCGAAUUAAAAAAAUAAAUUAGAAACCAACCAUACAAAUUAUGGUUUAGGACCAUUCCUAUAAUUUACUCUAAAAAUUGCCUACUGUCAAUUAGCCCUACUUAGAAACCGGACACGUGGCACGUUUUGUUUAUCAGAUAAAGUAGUGGCGCUUGUAACAUAAAAUCGAGGGUUUUGUUCGAAGUUCUAAAUUUCGAGAUGGAGACUGGUUCAGAAGGAGAAAGCGAUCGGAACAUCAAUGGUGAAUCCGAUGGAUCUAAGAGACAUGAACGCCAGAUGAAGACGCGCUUCCAACGGGAUAUGCUUGAAAAAACCUAUGCCGGUAUGUACUAAAUCAUCCCUUCAUAAUUCUAUUGAUAUUUUGGUUUCCGAUUCCACGUUUCGUGAUUUCUGUGCGUAUUUCUCAUCUAUAUUUGAUAGAUUCCUCGUUAAUUUGUUGGGGGUUCUGUAAUAGAUUCAAUCGAAUCACAUAUAUGUUGUUAUAACUUCACAAUUUGAAGCAUUAUGUUGACUCGCUUGUUGUUUCGAUUUAAAGUUUUUGAUUACAUAUAUCCUCUGCAGUGGAGAUGUAUCCAUUGAAGGACACGAAAGAGAAGCUUUCGGGAACUUUAGGGUUAACCGAUCGCCAGGUGCAAAGGUGGUUUAACAACCGCCGGCUUAGAGAUAAUAAACGACGGACUGCAAAAAGGGCUGGACGUGGUGGAGUUGGGAGGAGUCACAAUGGUUCAUUCUCAGCUCGUCUUCAAUGUAAAGACACGAACCAGACAAUGGAGAAGCUUGGUGUUCUUAAGUUUGAAGUUGGUCAACUGGCUGAAACCAAAACUUUUGAGAAAGGGUAUCGUUCUGCUUGGUUCAAAUGCAAGGUAUCUCUUCAUUCAACUACUUAAAUAAUCUGGAUGAAACUAUGAUUUAUGAUAUAUUACUUUUCCCUUCAUCAGAUUAAGGAUAUAAGCUUGAAGAAGAACAAGAUUUUACCUGAGUACUAUGAUUUUCCAGAUGAAAGUGAGUUGACUAACCUUAUGACUUAUGUUAUGAAUGGAAGCAUGGAUUCUACUUGUAGUUAUACUUUAUUUUCAUUUGCAGAGAUUAAAUGGGCAAAUAUGUACGAAAUUCCUCCUUAUGGUAGAAAGUCAAAGAAUAUUAAAAAACAACUGAUGGUUCGACCUCAAUAUCCUCAAAUAUAUCACAAAAAUGAAAUGCCACCUGUCAAUUCGAUUACAGAAGUAUGUGUUAUCAUUGAUGGUGUAUGGAAGAGUGGGGAUUUGGUAGAUUGGUUUGAAGAUGAUUGUUAUUGGUCUGCAAGUAUUAUCAAAAUAUUGAGUGAUGAGAGGGUUAAG